rnacentral:ncRNA from 1 species
CAUCGUGAGGUGGAAUCUGAAGGAAGUCGGCGGCAAAUCUCUGGUCUGACGAACAGAAAUCACAUAAAGGCAGUGUAAUCUGGGUAAAGUUGCAAGUCAAACUGAAGCCCGAAACUAUCCGAAAGAAAGCGCUGUAAAUGUGGCAGAUAGAUGGAGAGAAAGAUUG